GACGAACGCUGGCGGCGUGCUUAACACAUGCAAGUCGAACGGAAAGGCCCUGCUUUUGUGGGGUGCUCGAGUGGCGAACGGGUGAGUAACACGUGAGUAACCUGCCCUUGACUUUGGGAUAACUUCAGGAAACUGGGGCUAAUACCGGAUAGGAGCUCCUGCUGCAUGGGGGGGGUUGGAAAGUUUCGGCGGUUGGGGCUGGACUCGCGGCUUAUCCGCUUGUUGGUGGGGUAGUGGCUUACCAAGUCUUUGACGGGUAGCCGGCCUGGGAGGGGGGCCGGCGACCAUGGGACUGAGAUAGGGCCCAGACGCCUAUGGGAGGCAGUAGUGGGGAAUAUGGCGCAACGGGCGGAAGCCUGAUGCAGAAACGCCGCGUGCGGGAUGACGGGCUUCGGGUUGUAAACCGAUUUCGCCUGUGACGAAGCGUGAGUGACGGUAAUGGGUAAAGAAGCAACGGCUAACUACGUG
rnacentral:rRNA from 1 species